rnacentral:rRNA from 1 species
ACGCUCGACACCUACGGGAGGCAGCAGUGGGGAAUAUUGCACAAUGGGGGAAACCCUGAUGCAGCGACGCCGCGUGAAGGAAGAAGUAUCUCGGUAUGUAAACUUCUAUCAGCAGGGAAGAAAGUGACGGUACCUGACUAAGAAGCCCCGGCUAACUACGUGCCACAGCCGCGGUAAUCUGAGGCGGGCUGGCAAGGC